AGUGAACUUCGUUUGUAGUGAAAAUCCUUUUAUGCCGGUGUUCGGCAUAAAAGAUUGUAACGAAUAGCGGGAUUAGCU
rnacentral:sRNA from 1 species